rnacentral:rRNA from 1 species
GAUGAGGCCUGGCCGCUGUCCUAAUACACGCAAGUCGAGCGAACAGACGAGUGGCUUGCUCCUCUGACGUUAGCGGCUGACGGGUGAGUAACACGUGGGUAACCUACCUAUACAACUGAUAUAACGUCUGUAAACCGGUGCUAAUACCGCGUAAUAGCUUGAACCGCAGUGUUCAAUAGUCAAGUACGGUUUUGCUGUCACUUAUAGAUGGGUCCGCGCCGCAUUAGCUAGUUGGUAAGGUAACGGCUUACCAAGGCAACGAUGCGUAGCCGACCUGAGAGGGUGAUCGGCCCAACUGGAAAUGAGACACGGUCCAGACUCCUACGGGAGGCAGCAGUAGGGAAUCGUCCGCAAUGGGCGAAAGCCUGACGGAGCAACGCCGCGUGAGUGAUGAAGGUCUUCGGAUCGUAAAACUCUGUUAUUAGGGAAGAACAAAUGUGUAAGUAACUAUGCACGUCUUGACGGUACCUAAUCAGAAAGCCAGGGCUGACUACGUG